rnacentral:rRNA from 1 species
UUACCAUAUAGACUGGGAUAACAGAGGGAAACUUCUGAUAAUACUGGAUAAGUUAGAAGUAGCAUUACUAAGUAAUGAAAGGUAGCAAUACGCUAUAUGAGAGCUUUGCAUCCUAUUAGCUAGUUGGUGGGGUAAAAGCCUACCAAGGCGAUGAUAGGUAGCCGGCCUGAGAGGGUGGACGGCCACAAGGGGACUGAGAUACGGCCCUUACUCCUACGGGAGGCAGCAGUA